AGCAGCCGCGGUAAUUCCAGCUCCAAUAGCGUAUAUUAAAGUUGUUGCAGUUAAAAAGCUCGUAGUUGAACCUUGGGCCUGGCUGGCCGGUCCGCCUCACCGCGAGUACUGGUCCGGCUGGGCCUUUCCUUCUGGGGAACCUCAUGGCCUUCACUGGCUGUGGGGGGAACCAGGACUUUUACUGUGAAAAAAUUAGAGUGUUCAAAGCAGGCCUUUGCUCGAAUACAUUAGCAUGGAAUAAUAGAAUAGGACGUGCGGUUCUAUUUUGUUGGUUUCUAGAGUCGCCGUAAUGAUUAAUAGGGAUAGUUGGGGGCAUUGGUAUUGAGUCGCUAGAGGUGAAAUUCUUGGAUUGACUCAAGACCGACUAUUGCGAAAGCAUUUGCCAAGGAUGUUUUCAUUAAUCAAGAACGAAGGUUAGGGGAUCGAAAACGAUCAGAUACCGUUGUAGUCUUAACAGUAAACUAUGCCGACUAGGGAUCGGACAAUGUUAACUUUUCUUGACUCG
rnacentral:rRNA from 1 species